AGAAGAAUAGUUGAUCGGAGCAUAAUUAUGCGAUAAUAAUGUUGGUUUGCCAAAGCAAGGAAAGAAAUAUGAGCAAAAGGAAGGAGAUUUGUGCAAAUAAUGGAGAAGUGUGGAAUCUUGAUGAGUCAAGGAAGCAUACGGCAACAUGAAGAAAAAGAUAUUCAGCAAUUAAUUAUCUUGGCUGCUCUUAUUGGAUAGAAGGAUGUCAAUGAAUCCAAAAUCAAUCAGAACAUUAAUAAAGGAGCUUUCCGUGGAAGCCAAGGAAUUAGAGUCCCAAAAGGAAAGAAGGAAAGAGUUACAAACGGAAUAAAAUCUCUCCUUGGACGUUCAAGAAACCUACCAUCACACAUACGGAAGAGGAGAGACGCACAAGAGCUGAAGAAGAAGGAGGAUUGCAACCAUCACCGAAAACGAUCGAUCGCUGCCUGCCGACGAUCGAUCGCCGAUCAGCCUUUUCCUAUUUCUUGGUUUUUGUUGUCUUCUUUCUCCAUGAACUCAAUUGUGUUUUUGAUUUCCAUUAUGUGUAACUAAAUUUCCAGUAGCUAGGGGGCAGUUGAAGCCCCUAGACAUGAUCCACAACAUGCUUUGACAUUCAAUUUGUUUUCCGAUUAAUAAAGUUGAGGUUUUGUUUACCGAUUUCUCAUUGAUGAGUUCUAUGUUUGUAUGCUUUGGAGGCCUACUUAGUAUGCAUGCUAGGGUUCUAAUACUUUGAUUAUUUGAUGCCUGGAUCAAUAGUUGGAUUCCUCAAAUUGUCUAGAGAAGUAAUUGGUGGUUUUCACUAUCAAGUAGACAAAACCCUAGGUUUAGCAAGGCUCUAAGUUAUUUGCGAUGCCUAGUGAUUGCUCAAACUCUUUUCAAACUUAAUGAUCUCUGCAUGUUUAAUCUAAUAAACGUACCUUUAGGUUGCAUUGCUUGGGAAUAGUCUAGGUGUAGAGCACUUCCUGCCUAGCGUACAAAGUAAGAAAGAGUAAUAGGUUGUGUUCAAGCGUACCGAGCCAAUCUGAGCGUCUUCAACUAAGUUAAUUGGAAGUAAAUUGGACAAAGUGUGUUGUGUGUGAUUGUUGGAGGUGGAUACUUCCUUCCUAGC